GAUGAACGCUGGCGGCGUGCCUAAUACAUGCAAGUCGAGCGAACGGACGAGAAGCUUGCUUCUCUGAUGUUAGCGGCGGACGGGUGAGUAACACGUGGAUAACCUACCUAUAAGACUGGGAUAACUUCGGGAAACCGGAGCUAAUACCGGAUAAUAUUUUGAACCGCAUGGUUCAAAAGUGAAAGACGGUCUUGCUGUCACUUAUAGAUGGAUCCGCGCUGCAUUAGCUAGUUGGUAAGGUAACGGCUUACCAAGGCAACGAUGCAUAGCCGACCUGAGAGGGUGAUCGGCCACACUGGAACUGAGACACGGUCCAGACUCCUACGGGAGGCAGCAGUAGGGAAUCUUCCGCAAUGGGCGAAAGCCUGACGGAGCAACGCCGCGUGAGUGAUGAAGGUCUUCGGAUCGUAAAACUCUGUUAUUAGGGAAGAACAUAUGUGUAAGUAACUGUGCACAUCUUGAUGGUACCUAAUCAGAAAGCCACGGCUAACUACGU
rnacentral:rRNA from 1 species